AUUGAACGCUGGCGGCAUGCCUUACACAUGCAAGUCGAACGGCAGCACGGGUGCUUGCCCCUGGUGGCGAGUGGCGAACGGGUGAGUAAUACAUCGGAACAUGUCCUGUAGUGGGGGAUAGCCCGGCGAAAGCCGGAUUAAUACCGCAUACGAUCUACGGAUGAAAGCGGGGGACCUUCGGGCCUCGCGCUAUAGGGUUGGCCGAUGGCUGAUUAGCUAGUUGGUGGGGUAAAGGCCUACCAAGGCGACGAUCAGUAGCUGGUCUGAGAGGACGACCAGCCACACUGGGACUGAGACUCGGCCCAGACUCCUACGGGAGGCAGCAGUGGGGAAUUUUGGACAAUGGGCGAAAGCCUGAUCCAGCAAUGCCGCGUGUGUGAAGAAGGCCUUCGGGUUGUAAAGCACUUUUGUCCGGAAAGAAAUCCUUGGCCCUAAUACGGUCGGGGGAUGACGGUACCGGAAGAAUAAGCACCGGCUAACUACGUG
rnacentral:rRNA from 1 species